UUCGCCCUUAGAGUUUGAUCCUGGCUCAGAGCGAACGCUGGCGGCAGGCUUAACACAUGCAAGUCGAGCGGGCGUAGCAAUACGUCAGCGGCAGACGGGUGAGUAACGCGUGGGAACGUACCUUUUGGUUCGGAACAACACAGGGAAACUUGUGCUAAUACCGGAUAAGCCCUUACGGGGAAAGAUUUAUCGCCGAAAGAUCGGCCCGCGUCUGAUUAGCUAGUUGGUGAGGUAACGGCUCACCAAGGCGACGAUCAGUAGCUGGUCUGAGAGGAUGAUCAGCCACAUUGGGACUGAGACACGGCCCAAACUCCUACGGGAGGCAGCAGUGGGGAAUAUUGGACAAUGGGGGCAACCCUGAUCCAGCCAUGCCGCGUGAGUGAUGAAGGCCCUAGGGUUGUAAAGCUCUUUUGUGCGGGAAGAUAAUGACGGUACCGCAAGAAUAAGCCCCGGCUAACUUCGUGCCAGCAGCCGCGGUAAUACGAAGGGGGCUAGCGUUGCUCGGAAUCACUGGGCGUAAAGGGUGCGUAGGCGGAUCUUUAAGUCAGAGGUGAAAGCCUGGAGCUCAACUCCAGAACUGCCUUUGAUACUGGGGAUCUUGAGUUCGGGAGAGGUGAGUGGAACUGCGAGUGUAGAGGUGAAAUUCGUAGAUAUUCGCAAGAACACCAGUGGCGAAGGCGGCCCACUGGCCCGAUACUGACGCUGAGGCACGAAAGCGUGGGGAGCAAACAGGAUUAGAUACCCUGGUAGUCCACGCCGUAAAC
rnacentral:rRNA from 1 species